AUUUAUCAGUUUUUUAGGUUAGUAUUUAGGAAAUUCACUUGAUACGUAUAAAUAAUUUAUCAAGAAACCUCAUUUUCUAAAUCCAGAAUACAUGAACUGAAAAUCUUAGCUCCGCCAGACACCCGGCAAACAACCUUCUCCAAGAAGAAUUAUACUUUGGCCUGAUACGUCAACUAGAGGAAAGACCAGUUGGUUCACCAAACUCCAACCCGAGCGUCAUGAAUUCUCCAGAUCGAGUGCCAAACUACCGACCCCUCUUGAAAUUACAUUGUUGGAGCCGAACCAGGAAUGGCAGUAAGUGGACCACCACCACUUUUCA
rnacentral:lncRNA from 1 species